GCGAGCAAAGAGAUAAAAGGCAUACUCAAGAAGGUCGUUUGUCUGAAUCACGAGAUUGGUCCAAAAGACUGGACGAUGCUUUAUGGGCCUACAGAACAACAUAUAAGACACCUUUAAGGAUUUCACCCUAUAGGUUGGUCUUUGGGAAAUCUUGUCAUUUGCCUUUGGAGUUAGAGCACAAAGCUUACUGGGUGCUCCAAC
rnacentral:lncRNA from 1 species